rnacentral:lncRNA from 1 species
UAGUGGGCCGCUUGGGGCCAGGAAGAGUUUAUUAUGAAGAGUAAUGGUGGGAGUCAUCGCUGUCACCAUGGUUCGCCAUGUGGAGUCAGUUGUGGAGAGUGGAGCGGGGUCCGCUGUCGCGACUCGUUAGGGAGUGGUGGAGCCGCACAGAAUCCAUCGCAGGAGGUGGAGCAGAAUCAUGGCCAUUAUUACAGCCAGUCGGGAGUGAUGGAGCCGCACGAAAUCUGUUGCAGGAAGUGGAGCAGAGUUGUGACCGUUAC